rnacentral:tRNA from 1 species
CGAAAUCGGUAGACGCUACGGACUAAAAUCCGUUGGUCUUUAUAGGACCGUGAGGGUUCAAGUCCCUCUAUCCCCA